rnacentral:rRNA from 1 species
CCCCAAACCGACACAGGUGGUCAGGUAGAGAAUACCAAGGCGCUUGAGAGAACUCGGGUGAAGGAACUAGGCAAAAUGGUGCCGUAACUUCGGGAGAAGGCACGCUGAUAUGUAGGUGAAGUCCCUCGCGGAUGGAGCUGAAAUCAGUCGAAGAUACCAGCUGGCUGCAACUGUUUAUUAAAAACACAGCACUGUGCAAACACGAAAGUGGACGUAUACGGUGUGACGCCUGCCCGGUGCCGGAAGGUUAAUUGAUGGGGUCAGCGCAAGCGAAGCUCUUGAUCGAAGCCCCGGUAAACGGCGGCCGUAACUAUAACGGUCCUAAGGUAGCGAAAUUCCUUGUCGGGUAAGUUCCGACCUGCACGAAUGGCGUAAUGAUGGCCAGGCUGUCUCCACCCGAGACUCAGUGAAAUUGAACUCGCUGUGAAGAUGCAGUGUACCCGCGGCAAGACGGAAAGACCCCGUGAACCUUUACUAUAGCUUGACACUGAACAUUGAGCCUUGAUGUGUAGGAUAGGUGGGAGGCUUUGAAGUGUGGACGCCAGUCUGCAUGGAGUCGACCUUGAAAUACCACCCUUUAAUGUUUGAUGUUCUAACGUGGACCCGUGAUCCGGGUUGCGGACAGUGUCUGGUGGGUAGUUUGACUGGGGCGGUCUCCUCCUAAAGAGUAACGGAGGAGCACGAAGGUUGGCUAAUCCUGGUCGGACAUCAGGAGGUUAGUGCAAUGGCAUAAGCCAGCUUGACUGCGAGCGUGACGGCGCGAGCAGGUGCGAAAGCAGGUCAUAGUGAUCCGGUGGUUCUGAAUGGAAGGGCCAUCGCUCAACGGAUAAAAGGUACUCCGGGGAUAACAGGCUGAUACCGCCCAAGAGUUCAUAUCGACGGCGGUGUUUGGCACCUCGAUGUCGGCUCAUCACAUCCUGGGGCUGAAGUAGGUCCCAAGGGUAUGGCUGUUCGCCAUUUAAAGUGGUACGCGAGCUGGGUUUAGAACGUCGUGAGACAGUUCGGUCCCUAUCUGCCGUGGGCGAUGGAGAACUGAGGGGGGCUGCUCCUAGUACGAGAGGACCGGAGUGGACGCAUCACUGGUGUUCGGGUUGUCAUGCCAAUGGCACUGCCCGGUAGCUAAAUGCGGAAGAGAUAAGUGCUGAAAGCAUCUAAGCACGAAACUUGCCCCGAGAUGAGUUCUCCCUGACCCUUUAAGGGUCCUGAAGGAACGUUGAAGACGACGACGUUGAUAGGCCGGGUGUGUAAGCGCAGCGAUGCGUUGAGCUAACCGGUACUAAUGAACCGUGAGGCUUAACCUU